AGAGUUUGAUCCUGGCUCAGGACGAACGCUGGCGGUGUGCUUAAUACAUGCAAGUCGAACGGCUCUUCGGAGCAGUGGCGGACGGCUGAGUAACACGUAGGUAACGUACCCUAUACUGGGGGAUAACAGAGGGAAACUUCUGCUAAUACCGCAUAAGUCAUCGGUUGUGAUACUGAUGAUUAAAGUUUUUUCGGUAUGGGAUCGGCCUGCGUCUGAUUAGCUUGUUGGUAGGGUAAAGGCCUACCAAGGCAAUGAUCAGUAGUUGGUCUGAGAGGAUGACCAGCCAGAGUGGGACUGAGACACGGCCCACACUUCUACGGAAGGCAGCAGUAGGGAAUUUUGCGCAAUGGGCGAAAGCCUGACGCAGCAACACCGCGUGGAGGAUGAAGGUUUUAGGAUUGUAAACUCCUGUCGGCAGGGAAUAAUAAUGACUGUACCUGCAAAGGAAGCACCGGCUAACUACGUGCCAGCAGCCGCGGUAAGACGUAGGGUGCAAGCGUUGUCCGGAAUUAUUGGGCGUAAAGAGUUCGUAGGCGGUUUCUUAAGUCUGGUGUUAAAGCCCGAAGCUCAACUUCGGCAUGGCAUUGGAAACUGGGUAACUAGAGUGUGGUAGAGGUCACGGGAAUUCCAGGUGUAGCGGUGAAAUGCGUAGAUAUCUGGAGGAACACCGGUGGCGAAAGCGCGUGACUGGACCAUAACUGACACUGAGGAACGAAAGCUAGGGGAGCGAAAGGGAUUAGAUACCCCUGUAGUCCUAGCCGUAAACGAUGGAUACUAGGUGUUGGAGGAUUCGACCCCUUCAGUGCCGUAGCUAACGCGAUAAGUAUCCCGCCUGGGGAGUACGACCGCAAGGUUGAAACUCAAAGGAAUUGACGGGGGCCCGCACAAGCGGUGGAACAUGUGGUUUAAUUCGAUGCAACGCGAAGAACCUUACCUGGGCUUGACAUCCUUGGAAUCUUCUGGAAACAGAGGAGUGCCUUCGGGAACCAAGAGACAGGUGGUGCACGGUUGUCGUCAGCUCGUGUCGUGAGAUGUUGGGUUUAGUCCCGCAACGAGCGCAACCCUCGUGGUCUGUUGUUACAGGUCGUAAGAUGCUGAACCCUCAGGCCAGACUGCCGGUGACAAACCGGAGGAAGGUGGGGAUGACGUCAAAUCAUCACGCCCCUUAUGUCCAGGGCUACACACGUGUUACAAUGGGAAGCGGACAAUGGGUCGCUUGACAGCAAUGUUUGGCAAAUCCUUAAACCGCCCCUCAGUUCGGAUCGAGGUCUGCAAUUCGACCUCGUGAAGUCGGAAUCGCUAGUAAACGCAGAUCAGCACGCUGCGUUGAAUACGCUCCCGGGCCUUGUACACACCGCCCGUCACACCACGAAAGAGGGUUAUGCCCGAAGUCGGUGAGCUAACCGUAAGGAAGCAGCCGCCUAAGGUGGAACUCUUGAUUGGGGUGAAGUCGUAACAAGGUA
rnacentral:rRNA from 1 species